AGUAAAAGUCGUAACAAGGUUUCCGUAGGUGAACCUGCGGAAGGAUCAUUACACUCAGUAGUUUACUACUGUAAAGGAGGCUGUUAGUCUGUAUAGCGCAAGCUGAUGAGCAGCUAGUCUCUUUUAUCCACCCUUGUCUUUUGCGUACCCACGUUUCCUCGGCAGGCUUGCCUGCCGAUUGGACAAACCUAUAACCUUUUUAAUUUUCAAUCAGCGUCUGAAAAACUUAAUAAUUACAACUUUCAACAACGGAUCUCUUGGUUCUGGCAUCGAUGAAGAACGCAGCGAAAUGCGAUAAGUAGUGUGAAUUGCAGAAUUCAGUGAAUCAUCGAAUCUUUGAACGCACAUUGCGCCCCUUGGUAUUCCAUGGGGCAUGCCUGUUCGAGCGUCAUUUGUACCCUCAAGCUCUGCUUGGUGUUGGGGUGUUUGUCCUCUCCCUAGUGUUUGGACUCGCCUUAAAAUAAUUGGCAGCCAGUGUUUUGGUAUUGAAGCGCAGCACAAGUCGCGAUUCUUAUCAAAUACUUGCGUCCACAAGCCCUUUUUUAACUUUUGACCUCGGAUCAGGUAGGGAUACCCGCUGAACUUAAGCAUAUCAAUAAGCGGAGGAAAAGAAACAACAGGGAUUGCCC
rnacentral:rRNA from 1 species